rnacentral:lncRNA from 1 species
GAAUACCCAUAUUGUGAGAGUUGCUCAUUGAGACUCUUUGAGAUUCGGUGGAAAUUACUCCGGUGGUCAUUCAGAAAGGCAUCACUAGGAAUUGAGUUCUUUCGUCAUAUCUAUUCAAAGUCAAUUGUGUAGAAAGCUUCUAGCAGGGUUAAGGAUCUAUCAAUGUCACUCUUUUGGUAGGUUUCCUAUGUAUAUAAAUUGAAUGGUCGAUGUAUCUGCAGCUAUUGGUAGUCUAGAACUGUUCUGUUGAGUUGUACAAACAUCUAGUUAUGUUACUUUGAGAUUCUGGUUGAUAAUACAAGUUUAUAGACAGGAUUCAUAUCUUGGAAAAUAUUCAAAGUACAGAGGAUACUCUGUUGAAAUUUCAGUGGAUAUCAUUUUAAAUGAAUUUUGAUUUAAAAAUUGUUUAAAUUAUAGUUUGUUAAGUGUCGUCAAUAGGCUUGCCGGACUAGGAUGUUCUAGUUCGUGCGCCGGUCACGAUUAUAAAUUUUGGGUCGUGACAUAUGUUUUGUUAUAUAAAAAUCCUUAACACUUUCAUGUCAACUGAGGCAGGACCACACUUCAUGAUUUGGUGUGUUCAAUUGGUAUAUGCAUGA